UGCUAGUUGUGAUUAAAAGAAGAAAAUAAAGUUAUGUCCAAGAAAGAAAAAUAAUAUACUUAUUGUGAACUCUAAAUUAAGUAAUUGUUGUAUACUUAAGCUGAACAAAUUCAAAUCUCAAUCACACUCAAUAUUUACAAAAUACUCACCAUUUACUUUUACCAUUUGGUGGGCUCAAUACUACCAUUUAAUAGUAAAAUCAUAUCUUUCAACUUUUUUAUUAAAAUUCGUGCCCUCCAAUCCACCACACACUCUUUGUGGGCGGAGAGAGUAUCAUUUCUUAAAUCGUAGAAUAUAUUAUGUCAAAAUUUGAAAAUGGAAUAAAAUAAAUAUGGUAGAAAGAUAUAUGCACAUAUUAACAAAUUGCUUGAGAUAGUUUUUGGGGUAAUUAAGAUAGUUAGUACAGCUUCAAUUAUUUGUGUCUUAAAGAUAGACGAAAACGUGGUCCAAAAUUCACGUUCGAUAUCUGGCAGGCCAAGCAUGAUAAACAUGGGAUUUCAUUAAGCGACACUCAAAACAAUAUGGGAUUUUGUUUGAAUAAACCAUUGGUUCACAACCUCAAAUUAACAUCACACUCCCACCAACAAUACACAAUCUGACAACAAAAAUACACAGUAAUAAGAAGAGUUGAAAUUGUUGAGUUGACAUGAAUAAGAGUGGAAGAAGAAUGAGUGAAGAAAAUGAGGUUCAUGUUGUGAUGCUGCCAUGGCUGGCAUUUGGUCACAUGAUCCCAUUCUUGGAUCUCUCUAUUGCCUUAGCCAAAUUUGGCAUUCAUGUCUCCUACAUCUCUACUCCCCAAAACAUUCCAAGACUCCCCCAAAUCCCACCAAAUCUGUCACAAUUCAUCGAAUUCGUGGCCCUUCCUCUCCCCCAGCUCGAGUCGGAUCCCCUGCCGGAGAAUGCUGAAGCCACGACCGACAUUCCAGUGGAGAGAAUGGAUGAUCUGAAGAUUGCUUGUGAUCUCCUCCGAGAACCUGUCAAGAAAGUGAUUGCUGAGAAAUCUCCAAACUGGAUAUUAGUUGAUUUCUUUCACCACUGGGCAGCUGACAUCGCGCGAGAACUGGACGUCCCAUUGAUACUUUACUUUGUAAUGACUGCUGCCUCUUCUGUGUUCUGUUGGACACCUGAGUUUCUGGCUGGUGAGGGCCAAAGACAGACGAGGACAUCGCCUCAGGACAUGACAGUCACUCCAGAUUGGGUUGAUUUUCCCUCACAAGUAGUUUGCAGGAAUCAUGAAGCUAUAGCUAUGUAUAAUCUCCUGUAUGGUGCAAGAUCAUCUGGAAUCCAAGAUGGAGCACGCUUGACUAGAAUAGUCCAAGGAUGCCAGGCUAUUGUUAUACGCACCUGCUUGGAACUCGAAGCUGAUUAUUUGAAACUAUACUCAAAAAUCACUGGCAAGCCGGUGAUUCCAAUGGGAUGUCUUCCACCUCGGAAGGUGGAGGAGACGAGAACUAUACCGUGGAGUAGGGUCUUUGAUUGGCUUGACAAACAAAAGCCAAAAGCAGUAGCGUUUGUUGGGUUUGGGAGUGAAUGCAAAUUGCAAGGAAAGGAGAUUCAUGAGAUAGCAUAUGGGAUUGAACUAUCCGGGCUUCCCUUCUUAUUUAUACUGGCAAAGCCUCAUUGGGAUGGUGAUGAUGAUGAUGAUGAAGUAUUGCCACCAGGAUUUGAGUCCCGGACAGCAGGGAGGGGAGUCGUGCAUAUUGGAUGGGCGCCCCAGAGGGAAAUCCUUGCCCAUCCUUCAAUAGGAGGUUCGUUGUUUCAUGCAGGGUGGGCUUCUGUUGUGGAAAAUAUGGCACAUGGAAACUACCUUGUGCUGUUGCCAUUCAUCAUCACUCAACCGNUCCUAUUAUAUUGGCAGCGUGAAUUUCAGCCUGAUUCUUGGGAUCAAAUCUAACCAUUGAUUGAUCUUGAUCCAUUGGUUAAUAUUGAUUCUUAAUUUAUAUACUAAUUCUAGUUCUUAUUUUAGUCUAACCUAUAUAUAUGUAUUAAAUAGAUAUAAAAUAUAAUAUUCAAUUGUAUAUAAAAUUUUCAAUCGCUGCAAAUCUAUGAAUCACAAUUGAGCAUUUUUUGUGUUUAUUAGGUAAACAUAUUAGAUAUAGUAUACCUAUAUUAUUUACAAUAUUAUUUACAUAUUUUUCCCUUCCGAGUUUUGAAUCGAAUAGCAUGAAAAACGAAUUGAAUACUCGAAUCAAAUUGAAUAAUUCGAAAAUGACAUCGAAUCGAAUUUAGUAUUCAAAAUCAAAUCGAAUAUUAAAAUAUUUUCAUAAAUAUGAAUCAAAUAUGGCGUUAUUCGCUUCGAUUAGAUUACAAUCCUAUUCCCGAGCUAAAACACAAAAUCCAAAUUACAGAAGUGAAAUUAAAUUUUUACCCCCAACUCCCACAUGAUUGAAAUGCUCGAUUUAAGUCCAUCAAAUGGCCGAGAGAUAUAUGCACUUACUAAGAAAUUGUUUGAAAUAGUUUAUUUGGGGUAAUUAAGAUAGUUGGUACAACUUCAAUUAUUUGAUAUCAUACAGGCCAAGCAUGAUACACGAUGGGAAGAAAAAAUCAGUAACCUACAGUCAAUUAACAAUUUACCCUAUUUAAUUGGUUCACAGCCUCAAAUGAACAUCACUCUCCCACCAAUUUAUACAUACACACACACACAGAGUGAUCAGAAGAGUUGAAGUUAAAGAGUUGAUAUGAAUAAAGGUGGAAGAAAAAUGAGUGAAGAAAAUGAGGUUCAUGUUGUGAUGCUGCCAUGGCUGGCAUUUGGUCACAUGAUCCCAUUCUUGGAUCUCUCUAUUGCCUUAGCCAAAUUUGGCAUUCAUGUCUCCUUCAUCUCUACUCCCCAAAACAUUGCAAGACUCCCCAAAAUCCCACCAAAUCUGUCAAAAUUCAUCGAAUUCGUGCCCCUUCCUCUCCCCAAGCUCGACAUUCCGGCAGACAGAAUGGAUGACUUGAAGAAAGCCUGUGAUCUCCUCCAGGAGCCCAUCAGCAAUUUUAUUGCUAAGAAGUUACCAAACUGGAUAGUGGUUGAUUUCUUUUACCACAAGGUGCUUGAUAUUGCAGAAGAAUUGAAUAUCCCUGUAAUAUUUUACCUUAUAGUAACUGCUGCCGCUGCUGUUUUCUGUUGGAAACCUGAGUUUCUGGCUGGUGAGGGCCAAAGACAGACGAGGACGUCGCCUCAGGACAUGACAGUUCCUCCAAAUUGGGUUGAUUUUCCCUCACAAGUAGUAUGCAGGAAUCAUGAAGCUACAGCUAUGCAUAAUCUCUUGUAUGGUGCAAGCUCAUCUGGAAUUCAAGAUGGAGCACGCAUGACAAGAAUAGCCCAAGGAUGCCAGGCAUUUGCUUUACGCACUUGCCUGGAACUCGAAGCUGAUUAUUUGAAACUAUACUCGAAAAUCACUGGCAAGCCGGUGAUUCCAAUGGGAUGUCUUCCACCUCAGAAGGUGGAGGAGAGGAGAACUAUAGGGGAAGAGCCGUGGAGUGGGGUCUUUGAUUGGCUUGACAAACAAAAGCCAAAAGCAGUAGUGUUUGUCGGGUUUGGGAGUGAAUGCAAAUUGCAGAGAAAGGAGAUUCAUGAGAUAGCAUAUGGGAUUGAACUAUCCGGGCUUCCCUUCAUAUUUAUACUGGCAAAGCCUCUUUGGGGUGGUGAUGAUGAUGAAGUAGUGCCCCCAGGAUUUGAGUCCCGGACAGCAGGGAGGGGCGUCGUGCAGAUUGGAUGGGCGCCCCAGAGGGAAAUCCUUGCCCAUCCUUCAAUAGGAGGUUCGUUGUUUCAUGCAGGGUGGGCUUCUGUUGUGGAAAAUAUGGCACAUGGAAACUACCUUGUGCUGUUGCCAUUCAUCUUCACUCAACCAUUGGAGACAAGGCUUCUAGUUGAGAAGGGUUUGGCAAUAGAGGUUCGAACGAGCUGAAGAUGGAUCUUUACAAGAAAUGGCAUAGCAAAUGCAUUGCAAAAGGCAAUGGUCGCUGAGGAAGGAGAAGCACUAAGAGCCAGAACAAAAGAAGCUGCUGAUGGGAUUUUCGCAAAUAAAGAAUUCAACCAUAGUUAUAUGAAGAGGUUUGUGGAGUAUUUGAAAGAUGGGGUUUACGAGAAGAAGUAAGUUCUAAUGGGAGUAUUCGCUACAUAUCUGUUGUUAUUAUGCUUAUUUUACUACAGUUAUUCAAGCUAAUGCUUUUACUCCAAGUCCCUUAGCUAUAACUGUUUUCUAUGUAUGAGUUUGCUAUGUUACUAUGUAUGUUUGUAUUUGAUCAACAUGAAUAAUACCAGUUGCUUUAUCCAUGUACAUCUUUUCUCUACUUCCUAAGAAUACUAGAAAGUUAGAAACCAAUCAACUAGGAGGGACGUUUAAUUUUGAGGAUUAGCCUUAAUAGGUAAAAAUAGCAAGGUUAAUCCCUUGUUUACUAAAAUGGAUUGCAACUUUGGGAUAUCCCAAGACCAUUGAUUAUUUUCUAUCAUUUGAGCUAGUUUUGUUUGACCCUGACGUAUAUCCUAUAGAAAGAGUGAUUGGAAAAAUCCUAGUCUUGAGGAUAAAAUACUUAAUCAUGCAAAGUAAACGCUCUCUAAUUUCGUGAAGCUCUCACAUUCUCAUUGACCAAAACUUGAACUCCCAAAAGGUAUGUACAAAAAGAUAAUGGAAUAACACUGGAAAAUUCAAGAAGGUGGCAACUUAGUUUUAGACAAAGAUGAGAAUUCAAAAUCCAGCAAGUUUCACUACAUAAUUUGCAUAGCUGUAUCUAGUAUAUUCAUCAUGUCACAAAUUAAAAUCAAGCUAAC
rnacentral:lncRNA from 1 species